rnacentral:tRNA from 1 species
GUGGUUGAAGCUGAGAUCAGCACCUGAUUGUUAAACAGGAGGAAGCCAUCGGGCCAACCACG